rnacentral:rRNA from 1 species
UACGUAGGUGGCGAGCGUUGUCCGGAUUUAUUGGGUUUAAAGGGUGCGUAGGCGGCCAUCUAAGUCAGUGCUGAAAUAUCCCGGCUUAACCGGGAGGGUGGCAUUGAUACUGGGCGGCUUGAGUGAAGUCGAGGUAGGCGGAAUUGACGGUGUAGCGGUGAAAUGCUUAGAUAUCGUCAAGAACACCGAUAGUGUAGACAGCUUACUAGGCUUUAACUGACGCUGAGGCACGAAAGUGUGGGGAUCAAACAGGAUUAGAAACCCCAGUAGUCC